GACGAACGCUGGCGGCGUGCUUAACACAUGCAAGUCGAACGAGACGAUUGAAAGCUUGCUUUCGAAAGUCGAGUGGCAAACGGGUGAGUAACGCGUAGACAACCUGCCUUUGAGAUGGGGACAACAGUUCGAAAGGACUGCUAAUACCGAAUGUUGUAUAUUUUCCACAUGGAAGAUAUAUUAAAGAUGGCCUCUAUUUAUAAGCUAUCGCUCAAAGAUGGGUCUGCGUCUGAUUAGCUGGUUGGUGGGGUAACGGCCUGCCAAGGCGACGAUCAGUAGCCGGUCUGAGAGGAUGAACGGCCACAUUGGGACUGAGACACGGCCCAGACUCCUACGGGAGGCAGCAGUGGGGAAUCUUCCACAAUGGACGAAGGUCUGAUGGAGCAACGCCGCGUGAGUGAAGAAGGGUUUCGGCUCGUAAAGCUCUGUUGUCGGGGACGAAUGUGCAGUAUUUGAAUAAAGUACUGCAAUGACGGUACCUGACGAGGAAGCCACGGCUAACUACGUGCCAGCCGCCGCAGUAA
rnacentral:rRNA from 1 species